AAAUUGAAGAGUUUGAUCAUGGCUCAGAUUGAACGCUGGCGGCAGGCCUAACACAUGCAAGUCGAACGGUAACAGGAAGCAGCUUGCUGCUUCGCUGACGAGUGGCGGACGGGUGAGUAAUGUCUGGGAAACUGCCUGAUGGAGGGGGAUAACUACUGGAAACGGUGGCUAAUACCGCAUAACGUCGCAAGACCAAAGAGGGGGACCUUCGGGCCUCUUGCCAUCAGAUGUGCCCAGAUGGGAUUAGCUUGUUGGUGAGGUAACGGCUCACCAAGGCGACGAUCCCUAGCUGGUCUGAGAGGAUGACCAGCCACACUGGAACUGAGACACGGUCCAGACUCCUACGGGAGGCAGCAGUGGGGAAUAUUGCACAAUGGGCGCAAGCCUGAUGCAGC
rnacentral:rRNA from 1 species